rnacentral:sRNA from 1 species
AUCUAAUAUAUUCGGAUUUAUAAUUAUUAAUAUAUAUUAAUAUAUAUAUAUAUAAUCUAUAAUCCGCACCGCAAGUAGUUUUUUUCACCAAUCAAACAUUAUUUUGUACCGUUUAUUUUGUACAAACCGCACUUGUCCCGCAAAUAUAUUUCUCCCGCACAUACCGCAGUUGAACCGUACCGCACUAUAAUAACGCUUUUUCCGCACAACAAAAACCGCGGUUACCAUUCGGACCCUAAAGCUCCGAAUGGUGACUGCGUUUUGCGGUAUGGUUCAAAUAGUAACGAAAAUACAUAGAUACAUAUGUAUAUGUAGAGAUUUUGAUACUGUUACAGCAUUGUUGCGAUGUAGUUUUGAGUGCGGUUUUGGUUACCGUUCACAGCCUAAAUUAACGUUGUAAGACCUGAUGGUGCAAGUUGUUGCUCAUUUUUUUUGCGUUUUUUCUUUUCUUUUU